UUUUAAAUUUUAUAUUAA
rnacentral:snRNA from 1 species